rnacentral:snRNA from 1 species
GGAUGUGAGGGUGAUCUGGCUGCAACAUCUGUCACCCCAUUGAUCGCCAGGGUUGAUUCGGCUGAUCUGGCUGGCCAGGCGGGUGUCCCCUUCCUCCCUCACCACUCGAGGUGCCUCCCUCCCAAAGCUGCGCGCUUGGUCGAAGAGGAUGACCUUCCCCGAUAGAGGAGGAGCAUUCUUUGGUCCAGGGUGUACGAGUAGCUGUGCUCCCUGCUAUAACCUGCAAACAAGCUCUCAAGGUCCCACAGUAGAUGGUGAGGGCAGGGACCAUGGUGAU